rnacentral:rRNA from 1 species
AGAGUUUGAUCAUGGCUCAGAUUGAACGCUGGCGGCAUGCCUUACACAUGCAAGUCGAACGCGAAAGAGGGGGCAACUCCUUGAGUAGAGUGGCGAACGGGUGAGUAACACAUCGGAACGUACCCAGGAGUGGGGGACAACCUCGAGAAAUCGAGGCUAAUACCGCAUACGUCCUGAGGGAGAAAGCGGGGGACCGUAAGGCCUCGCGCUCAUGGAGCGGCCGAUGUCCGAUUAGCUAGUUGGCGGGGUAAGAGCCCACCAAGGCGACGAUCGGUAGCUGGUUUGAGAGAACGACCAGCCACACUGGGACUGAGACACGGCCCAGACUCCUACGGGAGGCAGCAGUGGGGAAUUUUGGACAAUGGGGGCAACCCUGAUCCAGCCAUGCCGCGUGAGUGAAGAAGGCCUUCGGGUUGUAAAGCUCUUUCGGCCGGAACGAAAUCGGGUACGUGAAUAUCGUGCCUGGAUGACGGUACCGGAGUAAGAAGCACCGGCUAACUACGUGCCAGCAGCCGCGGUAAUACGUAGGGUGCGAGCGUUAAUCGGAAUUACUGGGCGUAAAGCGUGCGCAGGCGGUUCGCUAAGUCAGACGUGAAAGCCCCGGGCUUAACCUGGGAAUGGCGUUUGAAACUGGCGGGCUCGAGUACGGCAGAGGGGGGUGGAAUUCCACGUGUAGCAGUGAAAUGCGUAGAUAUGUGGAGGAACACCGAUGGCGAAGGCAGCCCCCUGGGCCGAUACUGACGCUCAUGCACGAAAGCGUGGGGAGCAAACAGGAUUAGAUACCCUAGUAGUCC